AGAGCACUUCCUCAGUCUAGACAGCAGAGACUGCUUCCAUCUCUCAGAGGACACUCAGGAACCCUAAGAGCUGUCUCAAGACACUGACAUCAUCACCUGGGAAACGUUAAUGUUGGCCUCCUCUUGCCUGGGAUAAGAACGUCUAGUCUCCAGCACCUGUGUCAGCACUGCAGCCAACUGAUGCUCCGAGAGUAGACCCUUCACUGCUCUCUGUGUCUUCCAGGCUUUGACCUUGAUCCUAUCAAUCUGUCAGCACAUCCUCUCGGAGCCCUGUGAUCCUUCAACCUGCUUCUUUCUGCCACUGUUGUUGUUUUGAAGACACAUUCCCAGUUAGAUCCCCAAAUGUUGUAUUCUGAAUCAGGUUUCAGAUUCUAUCCAGUUCCCCUCUUUAACUUGCUCAGAUUUACCUUCUUUCUCCUUUUAAUAAAAUUCGGUGAUUUCCA
rnacentral:lncRNA from 1 species